UACGUAGGGUGCAAGCGUUAAUCGGAAUUACUGGGCGUAAAGCGUGCGCAGGCGGUUUUGUAAGUCUGUCGUGAAAGCCCCGGGCUCAACCUGGGAAUUGCGAUGGAGACUGCAAGGCUUGAAUCUGGCAGAGGGGGGUAGAAUUCCACGUGUAGCAGUGAAAUGCGUAGAGAUGUGGAGGAACACCGAUGGCGAAGGCAGCCCCCUGGGUCAAGAUUGACGCUGAGGAGCGAAAGCGUGGGGAGCGAACAGG
rnacentral:rRNA from 1 species